GGGAACGUCUGGGUGGCAGCGGCGGUAAUAAGAGGGGGGCUAGCGUUGUGCGGAAUCACUGGGCGGAAAGCGCACGUAGGCGGAUGAUUAAGGCGGGGGUGAAAUCCCGAGGCUCAACCUCGGAACUGCCUUCGAUACUGGUAAUCUUCGAGUCCGGGAGAGGUGAGUGGAACUCCGAGUGUAGAGGUGAAAUUCGUAGAUAUUCGGAAGAACACCAGUGGCGAAGGCGGCUCACUGGCCCGGUACUGACGCUGAGGUGCGAAAGCGUGGGGAGCAAACAGGAUUAGAUACCCAGUAGUC
rnacentral:rRNA from 1 species